rnacentral:lncRNA from 1 species
AUGCAGCUCCCCUUUGUCGGGAUGAUCCUGUUUUCUCUGCACACUGCCAAAGCACUGGAGAGCUCAGAAGCACCUCCGAAGAUGGCACGGAUCGUGGCUGGUCUCGGGGAGACUGUAACGGUCAACUGCAGCCUUCCAGCAGGUUUUCGUCUUGGGCCAGAUGACAUCAGCUUUUACAAGGAAAAACAAGGCCAAAGCCUGGAGAAGAUUGACUUCCCUUCUAAAUACUCAAACAGAGCAGCUGGAGAUCCAUGGGCUUUGACCUUGCGCAACCUGGAAAGAAAUGACUCUGGGGUGUAUUAUUGCGUUGCCUUUUUAAGGCAGAAGUUCACAAUCAGAAACGGAGUUAUCCUGAUUGUCUCAGGUGCUCUGAGUGCCGUCCGUCCAUCCAUGUUGGUGCCUUCUGACCAGGACUGGAGUCAACUCAACCACAGCAUUCCUCUCCUCUGCCUCUUCUUUGAUGCCAGCCCUUCUUGGGAUAUUGUCUCCUGGAAUAUCGGCGGAGAAACAUCUCAGGAACCAAAGGACAUUGAGAUGAUAGACGAGGAAGGAGCUUUGACCCUCUGGAGCCUGAAGCUGAUUGCUCCAAGGACAUGGGCUCACGGGGUGUCUUAUACCUGUUGGGACCCAAAAAACAGAAGUACCUCUACUCAAGAAAGAGAGGUGCCAAAGACAGGAACCUGCUUGAAGAUGUUACAUUUUGGCACACCUUGCAUUGCCCUCCUCUUCCUGAGCCUCCUUUUAAGCCUGCUCUUCAGAAAGCAUCUUCCUGGAGGAAAGACAAAGAAAACAGAAAAUGGAAUCCCCAUGAGAGAGAUCCCACAGACGGAGUAUGCAGAGCUGACAGGCAACAAACGAAUGGUGGUGAAAACGCAUUGAUCAAUAUCAGUAACAGUUUGUGCUGUUUUCAGCAGAAUCGAAACAUAAGGAAAGGGGGUUUAUUAUAAAGCUUAGCAUUUUCCAAUUUGCUGAGUUCAUGUGCUUGGAUUAAACCCUUUUAAAAUGCAUAGACAUGCUCUUUGCUCUCAUUCUUAACCAUAUUCUGAUGGGCAAAUCCAAUUUUCUGUGCAUUUUGUGCAAUGGGGAGGAAAUGUUCUCUUUGCACGUGUGUGUCUUGUGUGUGUUCUCUCCAGAGAACAGUGCCAGAGAAAAGUGCAUAGGACGGAAGCAUUAAUGGUCUGUGGGGAAAAGGCAGAGGGUGGUUUCUGCCAGGAAGCCUUGAUCUCCUCCUCCUGUUGUUCUUCUGCAUUUAGCUUCCCCCCCCCCACCUAUACAUAACACAGGAGACCACAGGGUGGGGAAAAUAAGUGGCAACUAAUAAACUUAGAGAUCUUAUCA